rnacentral:misc_RNA from 1 species
UCCAGACUUCUUCAAUAAAGCUUUUCCACAAUUAUUUGACAUGUGCAGUUUGCAAAUUAAUAAGAGUGGUCAGAAUAAUUUGUCCAGUGACCUUAGAGGAGAAGGAGAUGAGAAGGAGGAUUUUUCUUCUGCGCAUGAUAAGAUAGUAAAUUGUGUAACAGCAUGCAUUCACAUAGCACUGGCACCUGAUAUUAUUAAACAACAGAAGAACUUGACUGAUUUUUUCUUAUUUUCACUUUCACCAAACUUUUCAUGGCCAGUGAAAGUGUCUGUUUUUUCGUCAAUUAAAGAGCUCUGCUCAAAGCUGCAUACUGAGACAGCUGGUUCUCAAGAUUCUUCUCAAUAUCACAACAUAGUUUCUUUUGCCCAUGAGUUGUUCUGCAAAACCUCUGUGAAAGUACUUGAAAUUGUACAAAUAGUAAAAAUUGCCCAGGUUCACAUAGCAGCUUCAGAGUGCCUUGUGGAAAUGGUGAACUUACUGAAAGCUACCAGGCAGUUGCCUGGUGGAGAAGUGACAUUCAGCCGCGAGUUUGUUCAGGUCUAUGAAGUGGAAAAGAAUGAGCAUGCUAAGUCUUUGCUCAAGAGAUGCAUCGACAUCCUCGAAAACCUUGAAAAAGAGCACAAAGUUUCAAGUUGAAUUCAUUGAUGAUAUCUGGACUACAGCAACACUGUUGCAGGGAAUGCAGAACCCAUUGCUGCUGCAUUGGAUCUCCUAGAGGCUGCACUCUCCAUCCUGUGCGGAGGAGAAAAUAUGUAGCAAAAGAAAAAAUAGAAAAUCAAAUUUAAAGAUCUUGAGCCUGUCAAGUAAAGGUGAACAUUACUUUACUAUAAUGUAAGUCAAUUGUUAAUGGUUAAGUGAUUUCG